rnacentral:rRNA from 1 species
AUUGAACGCUGGCGGCAUGCCUUACACAUGCAAGUCGAACGGUAGAGUAGCAAUACUUGAGAGUGGCGAACGGGUGAGUAAUGCAUCGGAACAUGCCCAGUCGUGGGGGAUAACGUAGCGAAAGUUACGCUAAUACCGCAUACGAUCUAUGGAUGAAAGCGGGGGACUCGCAAGAGCCUCGCGCGAUUGGAGUGGCCGAUGUCAGAUUAGGUAGUUGGUGGGGUAGAAGCCCACCAAGCCAACGAUCUGUAGCUGGUCUGAGAGGACGACCAGCCACACUGGGACUGAGACACGGCCCAGACUCCUACGGGAGGCAGCAGUGGGGAAUUUUGGACAAUGGACGAAAGUCUGAUCCAGCAAUGCCGCGUGCAGGACGAAGGCCUUCGGGUUGUAAACUGCUUUUGUACGGAGCGAAAAGCUUUGGAUUAAUACUCCGAGGUCAUGACGGUACCGUAAGAAUAAGCACCGGCUAACUACGUGCCAGCAGCCGCGGUAA